AGGACAUGAAAAUGAACAGGUAACUGUUAGUGUUACAGAUUGCUCAGAUAUGUUACAAUGUAUUGUUUCAAUAAAUUGAAAUUUUUACUGAUGAUACCUCAAAAUCGUCAACCUUAAUGGAAAAUUUAAAUUCUCUUUGGUUUAAAUAUACAUGCAUUUCUUCCUAUAGUUUAUGUAGGGGGUAUGCUGCUGCCAGAUCUGUUGGAUUGCUUCCAAUCAUAAUGCCAAGACAUUCCAGGUGAAUUAAGGCCAUGCAUUUGGUGGUCUCAGAAAAAACCUUGACAGCUCUGUCUGUAAUGAUACCUGUCUUUCAGAUUUUCUCUACACGGGAAAUUAAAUUCAUCUGUUAAUGUAGUUCUUUAUACUUACUCCCUCUCUUUGGCUGAUUGAUGCUGGACCUGCUACUGGAGAUUCCAGGUCUAUACAUUUUAGGAAGAAAUUUGGGAAAUUUAAUUAAGUAGUAGUAGUCAAAAUGAUAAUAGCGUGAA
rnacentral:misc_RNA from 1 species